UGCUGAAGUACGGUUCAUCGUUCGUUCGGCACAUUUUAUUUUGACCGCAGUAAACAGCUGAUAAUCCGUCAUUUGACAGAAAUGCAAAAUCUGUGCUUGCUAAUUUGGUGGAAAAGGUUACAAAAUCGAAAAGGAAGGGGAGGAAGCUGCGGUGUGCUCAAAAUGCUUUUGAAGCGGCCGAAAGAGGGCAUUUUACCCUACUUAUUCCAAAAAUUCGAUUGAAUGAUGUGAAAACGUUCAUAAAUUUCCACUGCAUGGACCCCAACACUUUCGAAGAACUUCUUUACAUAUUGGGCCCCAGUAUGAGGAACACACCGAAUAAAAGCGUUUCCGAACCACAAUUCACYGACACACAACUAUAAACAUACGCAUAGUAUAAUUUUAAUGGCAGUGGCUGAUGCCAAUUACAAAUUUAUUAUGGUGGACAUAGGAGCAUUGGGACAUAACAGCGACGGCGGUGUAUUUAAAAGUUGUAGGUUUGGAUACAAAAUUUUCCAUCAUCUAGCAGAUUUGAAAAUUGAUGAGGGAAAACUGCUUCCCAACUCAAAUUAAGUUGCUCCAUUUGUUUUUCUAGCGGAUGAGGCUUUUUCUUUGCGGAGAAACAUUAUGCGUCCAUAUCCAGGUCGGAAUAUCAUGAAUUUACCACAAGAAGAAGGUAUUUUCAACAAGCAUCUGUCUAGAGCGCGAAGAGUUGUUGAAAACGCAUUUGGUAUUAUGGCCAGUCGCUUUCGGAUAUUCCGGAAACCAAUUAUAGCAAGCAAGCAAAUCGCAAGAAAUAUUGUGCAGGCCACCGGUUGCCCGCAUAAUUGGCUUCGUGAAAAAUCAGCACCGGAUGAUGUAUGUGUACACUUACAAAACAUACAACGCGAAGAGAAACCCAUUUUGCAAAGUUUUCUGCAACCAGUGAUGUCUUCUCACAGUAACCAUGCAUCUCAAGAUGCUAUUGCAGUAAGGAGAAUGUAUACAAAUUAUUUCAAA